AGCAGCCGCGGUAAUUCCAGCUCCAAUAGCGUAUAUUAAAGUUGUUGCAGUUAAAAAGCUCGUAGUUGAAUUUCGGGAUCGACGGGUCGGUCGCGCCUCUGGUGUGUACUGGCCCUGUCGGUUUCUCCCUUCUGACGAACCACGAUGUCAUUAAUUUGGUGUCGUGGGAAAUCAGGACUGUUACUUUGAAAAAAUUAGAGUGUUUAAAGCAGGCAUUCGCUUGAAUACAUUAGCAUGGAAUAAUGAAAUAGGACGUUUGAUCUUAUUUUGUUGGUUUCUAAGAUCGACGUAAUGAUUAAUAGGGAUAGUUGGGGGCAUUAGUAUUCAAUUGUCAGAGGUGAAAUUCUUGGAUUUAUUGAAGACUAACUACUGCGAAAGCAUUUGCCAAGGAUGUUUUCAUUAAUCAAGAACGAAAGUUAGGGGAUCGAAGACGAUCAGAUACCGUCGUAGUCUUAACCAUAAACUAUGCCGACUAGGGAUCGGAUGAUGUUAAUUUUUAAUGUACUCAUUCGGCGCCU
rnacentral:rRNA from 1 species